GCUAAAUUUUAAACAUGUGUCAAAAAGAAAAAUUAAUGUGAAAAGUGGACAAGUGAUCAAACAAUAAUGGGAAAAGGCCAGUCGAAAGAAAAGGAGGAAAUAAUAAUCGCACAGUCAGGAAAUAGUGCAGGUACAACGGCUAAUGGAAGUACAAGUACUGGGCGGGUACAUUCUUAGAAGGUCAAGAAGAGCACUAAAAAGUCAAAUAGCAAGAGAGAUUGCAAAGCCAGCAGAUCUCGUAAGAAGGUGAAACUGGUUGUUCCACACUGGAGCCAGCACCGAGGGAACGUUCCUAGCAGUUGCGCAAUUACCCAAACAUUACAUGGCACACAUCGUUACAUGGCAACACAUUACAUAAAACAACCCCCACGGGAUAAGUUGGAACUUCAAGAGCAGGAAGAUGAACAGCAUAAAACGUUUAAUCAGAAUUUUAAAGAACUGACCAUUUUUAUUAACAUAGAACAGCAGCCGACAACAAAAUAUGCUGAUUUGAAAGUUAAAAACUGCUCCCAGAUCUUUAAGAAUAGAGGAUAAUAUGAUAAAAUGAGAUAUUGGAUUCCAAAGUUAAUUACUCACUAAAGCUCAAUACGGAGCAGAAUUCAUCUUGUUUCUGUAUAGACAUUUUGAAGGCCUCAAUGUCAAAACAUACUCAAAAUGUGUCGCCAAACUUUUGAGAGAAGAGCAAUUUCAGCAGUUUUUAUGCAUGAACAAUUUUAGAUCCUAUAUAAAUCUUGAAGUCGAAAUUUUCAAAGGCAAAUAAUUCUUAUUUCUCCUCUAUGAAAGUGUAUCUGUGUUCUCAGUAAGCUUGACCUAAUAACAUAGAUUUGAGUUUAAAAAUGUUUCUUUAACAAAUUUGUGUUUUGUUUCUUUUAUGACAUCAUUCUUUUCAUUCACUAUUUAAUAUAUAUAUAUAUUCAUUUUAUGAACCAUUGACCAAACAUGACACCAGCCAUAGCCUUUUGCCAUUGGAGAGGAAGAGAACAUACCUGUCUCUUCCCUUUUUUGAUACUGCACGUUCACCAGAUUCCAUGUAUAUGCCUUAGUUAAUAUUAAUUGUCUAUGUAAAUCGUGUAUGCUGUUGCCAGAGAGAGUUGAGGGCCCUCUUUUCAACCCACAAACUAAGUUCCAGUCCAAGCAAUACCAGAUACGUAUGUACCUUUUAAAUGUAUAAUGUAUCGUUCGGUCGAAAAUUAUAAUUUUGACAAUA